UCAUAACAUUAAAUGGCUGCUGUGGCUUGACAUAAAGGAACUGAACAGGAAGAGCAAGCAUUGUGGAUUUCUGAGGGGAUAUUUACAGAGUGGGAUAGGAGAUUUGAACUUCCAAGAAGUUGCCUGCAGCCUCUGUGCCAGUUCCAUGCCCUAAAGGAUCAUGCUACUACACACCGGAUCAACAUCUUCAUUGAUCUAUCUGCUACAACCCCAAGGUCUGGUUCCUAGUCAACUA